AACGAACGCUGGCGGCGUGCUUAACACAUGCAAGUCGAACGCGAAAGGGACUUCGGUCCUGAGUAAAGUGGCGCACGGGUGAGUAACGCGUAGAUAACCUGUCUUCGAGUCUGGGAAUAAUACACCGAAAGGGGUACUAAUACCGGAUAUUCUUGCAUUUCAUAAGGAGUGUAAGCAAAGGUGGCCUCUGCAUAUGCUACUGCUUGAUGAGGGGUCUGCGUACCAUUAGCUAGUAGGUGGGGUAAUGGCCCACCUAGGCUACGAUGGUUAGCGGGUCUGAGAGGAUGAUCCGCCACACUGGCACUGGAACACGGGCCAGACUCCUACGGGAGGCAGCAGUGAGGAAUAUUGCGCAAUGGGGGCAACCCUGACGCAGCGACGCCGCGUGAGUGAGGAAGG
rnacentral:rRNA from 1 species